UGCAAUCUACCUUCACAGAGGGAUAGCCCAGAGAAAUUUGGAUUAAUACCUCAUAGUAAUAGCAGUUUCGCAUGAAACCACUAUUAAAGUCACAACGGUGAAAGAUGAGCAUGCGUCCCAUUAGCUAGUUGGUAAGGUAACGGCUUACCAAGGCAACGAUGGGUAGGGGUCCUGAGAGGGAGAUCCCCCACACUGGUACUGAGACACGGACCAGACUCCUACGGGAGGCAGCAGUGAGGAAUAUUGGACAAUGGGCGCAAGCCUGAUCCAGCCAUGCCGCGUGCAGGAUGACGGUCCUAUGGAUUGUAAACUGCUUUUAUACAGGAAGAAACACUACUUCGUGAAGUAGCUUGACGGUACUGUAAGAAUAAGGAUCGGCUAACUCCGUG
rnacentral:rRNA from 1 species